ACUCUAGUUCGACUUUGUGAAAUGACUUGAGAGGUAUAGUAUAAGUGGGACUCGAAAGGCGAAAGUCAAAUACCACUACUUUUAACAAUAUUUUACUCAUUUCGUGAAUCGGAAGCGGGGCACUGCCCCUAUUUUUAGACCCAAGGCUUGCUUCGCGGGCUGAUCCAAGCGAAAGACAUUGUCAGGUGGGGAGU
rnacentral:rRNA from 1 species